AUGUUGCUGUAGCUGUGGUGUAGGCCUGCAACUACAGCUCAGAAUCUACCCCUAGGCUGGGAACUUCCAUAUGCUGUGGGUUCUGCCUUUAAAAGACCAAAAAAAAAAAAAAAAGUUUAUGUUAUGUGUGUUUUGUCACAAUAAAAGAGUAACGUAAAAGGUUUUUAAAGUUUUCUGUUUCUUUAAAAAAGGAGGGUUAUUGUCCCGUAAAACCACAAUAAACAUUGUGGAAAAUCAACAAUAAUUGCAUUCCAUACUAAGAUUUUCCAUGUUGUCUCCCAAAAUAUGUCUCUCCCAUACAGAUUCACACAUCAUACAUGAUAUGUUCAUGUUUUUUGCCUUUUUGCCUUUUCUAGGGCUGCUUCCCAUAGCAUAUGGAGGUUCCCAGGCUCAGGGUCAAAUCAGAGCUGUAGCCACUGGCCUAUGGCAGAGCCACAGCAACAUGGGAUCGGAGCCGUGUCUGCGACCUACACCACAGCUCACAGCAGUGCGGGAUCCUAAACCCACUGAGCAAGGCCACGGAUGGAACCCACAACCUCAUGGUUCCUAGUCGGAUUUGUUAACCAAUGUGCCACUAUGGGAACUUCCCCAUGUUUUGUCUUAAAUAAUUAUAUUUAAGCAAAAAGCACAGAUGGGUCUGGGUGAUGAAGGUGGUGGGUGUGAACUGACUCGGGUCAAACCAACCCUGAAUGUGUGUUGGUCUGGAUCCCUCUGGCCCUGGGGCAGAAUUCCUAAAAUGUAUGCCCUAGCCCUUCUAGCUCGUAAAGGAGGAACCUUCUACAUCUUUACAGUAAGGCCAACAUUAAUCUCAUGGAGCUCUUGAGCAUCAGAAUGUGGGUAUGCAACUAAGGAACUGAAUUUUUAAAUUUUAUUGAAUUCUAUUUAAAAUUUAAAACCGAUAGUUUAGUUUUGGAGAACAUUUAAGUAUAUUUAGAACAUCUUGGGUAUGUGAAUCUACUUUUUCCAGUUCAGACUUUAUAACAUCUAAAUACAGAUCAAAUAUUUUGAGUGAAAAUUUCACUCCUGAAUUGAGAGGUCCUGAAAGUGUGGAGUACACACUUGGAUUUCAGACAUUUAGUAUGAAAAAAAAGUAAAAUAUCUCAGUCUCUUGAAGUGUUUACACAUUGAAAUGAUAUUUUGGGUUUAUUUAGGGUCAUUGAAUUUUUUUUGUUUUUUAGUGCCGUACUGCAGCAUAUGGAGGUUCGUUCCCAGGCUAGGGGUUGAAUUUGAGCUAUAGCUGCCAGCCUUUGCCGCAGCCACAGAUGCAGGAUCUGAACCUCCUCUGCAACCUACACCGCAGCUUACAGCAACACCAGAUCCCUGGCCGACUGAGUGAGGCCAGGGAUCGAACCUGCAACCUCAUGGUUACUAGUCAGAUUCGUUUCCACUGAGUCACAACAGGAACUACAGUCACAUUCAUUUUUAUCAGAUACAUGUAGAUAGGGUACAAGCAUGAAGAAUCUCUUCGUCUCUGCAGCAGCCUGCACUGCCAUUCUGUCAGAUCCUCCUCUGGCUUCCCUUUCUGGGCUACUGAAGACUUCAGGCCCUAUUGUUUUUGGUGAAUCUUGGCUAGAUUCUCUUUCUCAUUUCUGUCCUAAUAAGACCUGAGCCCUGGGCAUGCCUCUUGAAGCCUUUGCUUCUCCACCAAGUAGACUGGUAGAGGGUAGGGGCUCAGCCACAUCUCUGACUGGCAUAAGGCUUGUGGAGAGUGGGAGGAACAUGGCCACCCAUCUGUGUUACUGGUUACAUGGGAGAACACUUCUGUACUCUUGCAGCUUUUUGCCCCAGGUCCCAAGCAGCAGGUGUAGAAAUCAUUGGUGGGAAGACAUUGAGACUCCAGAGAGGAUAGUGGGGCUGUUGCCCCAGUUCUGCUCCUUCCUAAGUGAGACAUGCACAGCAUGGAGUCUAGGAGAACUCAUAGAAUCCCAGAGAGUGAUGUAGAGAGCUGGGGAAGGGCCACUGGCCACUGGCCUGUAGCAUAUGGGUCUCCAGCUUUCCUCAUGCUUUGCGAACCAUUUACUAAACCCAGUGAGUACAGGUGGCAUUAUUCACUCAGAAAUGUGUACGUGCACACAUUUUUAUUUCAGUCACUCUGUACACUCACUAGAUAGACCCUGUUUUGAAGCUUCCUGUAUGAUGAACGUUAACCGUACAUACUUAAAUAUUUUUCCUGGUUUUAAUACAAAGGCAGGCAGCAGAGUUCCAGGAAAUGCUGCAGGUUUAUUGGAAUUGUGAUAGUCUGUGCACUAGGGAAGGGAUUUUGGUUUCUGGGGGGCUGAAGUUCCUUACCAGUGAGCAACUCUUAUUUUCCUAAGUGGAUGCUAAGGACAAGCUGACCUGACUGUAUGUCUGCCAGGGUGUAAACCUGGGCUGUGCAACAAAAUUUGAGUUUGUGAGAUUCCGCUGCAGCCCAUGGUCCUCUGGGGCAGAGCAUCCAGGGCUGGCUUUACCAGUGGUCACCUGCAGCAAGUCCUUCUGCCUAGAACAGAGUGGCUGGAGACCUGGGUGAGGGGAGUGAGUGCCCCCCACCCUAGAAAUCAAACACACUUUGUGGUGUUUACCCGUUUCUCUCCAGCACUUGUCCACUUUCCUGUCAGUAUCAAGUUGGGACACUUGACUUCUGUGGGUCAUUUUACUUCAGUGUAAAUUGGGUGGAAUUAAUAGCAAACAAGAACAUUACUUUUUACAAAGCUUCAGAGCCCCGUCAAGUUCUUUGCCUCCCUAGCUGUUCUCAUCUGAAAUGGUGCGCGUUUUGUCCCUGACUGGCUUCUUUGCACUCUGAAAGUUACUGAGAUCUAGAGGCAGUUGGUUAUUUAAGUCUGCACAUAUGUCUCAAACUGACAUGGUUAGAUUGUCAGGGCAAAAGUAGAUAUUGAACGUUUGCUGAGGGCAGAGGCCCCCUUGCAGUGCAUAGAGGUGGCUUGCCCAUACCUGAGAAGAGAAGCACCUGUCGGGAUGUCAGUGCUAUAUAGAAACCAGAACCCCUUGGUGUACUUGCUUGGUACGGCUCGACUGUCAAGGGUGCUUUGCUGUACCCUUGGCAGUGCAGAUCUAGGUGUAGACACUGUUAGCUCUGACUGUUAUUUGGGUUCUCUAUCUGAUGAAAGGUGAAACGAGAUGAGAGGAAAAGUCACCUUAGCUGGAGCCACUUCUUGAGAGUGCCUGGUAAUGACAGAUUCAUCUCCCCCCCCCUUUUUUUUUUGGCCGCACCCACAUCAUAUGAAAGUUCCCAGGACAGGGAUUGAAUCCAAGCUGAAGCUGUUACCUUUGCAGCUGUGGCAGUGCUGGUCCUUUUAACCCACUGCACUGCCACAGAGAUAAAUCUGCGCUGCCACAGAGACAAUGCCAGAUCCUUAACCCACUGUGCCACAGCGGGAACUCCAGUGUAUCCUUCUUUUUCUCAGAUAUUUUGUUUUUUGUCUCUUGAGGGCAGCGCCCACAGUGUUCCCAGGCUAGGGGUCAAUUCGGAGCCGCAGCUGCUGGCCUACACCACAGCUCACGGCAACAACAGAUCCUUAACCCACUGAGCAAGGCCAGGGAUCGAACCUGCUUCCUCAUGGAU
ensembl:lncRNA